AUGGGAGAGUUUGAUCCUGGCUCAGGACGAACGCUGGCGGCGUGCCUAAUACAUGCAAGUAGAACGCUGAAGAGAGGAGCUUGCUCUUCUUGGAUGAGUUGCGAACGGGUGAGUAACGCGUAGGUAACCUGCCUUGUAGCGGGGGAUAACUAUUGGAAACGAUAGCUAAUACCGCAUAACAAUGGAUGACACAUGUCAUUUAUUUGAAAGGGGCAAUUGCUCCACUACAAGAUGGACCUGCGUUGUAUUAGCUAGUAGGUGAGGUAAUGGCUCACCUAGGCGACGAUACAUAGCCGACCUGAGAGGGUGAUCGGCCACACUGGGACUGAGACACGGCCCAGACUCCUACGGGAGGCAGCAGUAGGGAAUCUUCGGCAAUGGGGGCAACCCUGACCGAGCAACGCCGCGUGAGUGAAGAAGGUUUUCGGAUCGUAAAGCUCUGUUGUAAGUCAAGAACGGGUGUGAGAGUGGAAAGUUCACACUGUGACGGUAGCUUACCAGAAAGGGACGGCUAACUACGUGCCAGCAGCCGCGGUAAUACGUAGGUCCCGAGCGUUGUCCGGAUUUAUUGGGCGUAAAGCGAGCGCAGGCGGUUUGAUAAGUCUGAAGUUAAAGGCUGUGGCUCAACCAUAGUUCGCUUUGGAAACUGUCAAACUUGAGUGCAGAAGGGGAGAGUGGAAUUCCAUGUGUAGCGGUGAAAUGCGUAGAUAUAUGGAGGAACACCGGUGGCGAAAGCGGCUCUCUGGUCUGUAACUGACGCUGAGGCUCGAAAGCGUGGGGAGCGAACAGGAUUAGAUACCCUGGUAGUCCACGCCGUAAACGAUGAGUGCUAGGUGUUGGAUCCUUUCCGGGAUUCAGUGCCGCAGCUAACGCAUUAAGCACUCCGCCUGGGGAGUACGACCGCAAGGUUGAAACUCAAAGGAAUUGACGGGGGCCCGCACAAGCGGUGGAGCAUGUGGUUUAAUUCGAAGCAACGCGAAGAACCUUACCAGGUCUUGACAUCCCGAUGCUAUUUCUAGAGAUAGAAAGUUACUUCGGUACAUCGGUGACAGGUGGUGCAUGGUUGUCGUCAGCUCGUGUCGUGAGAUGUUGGGUUAAGUCCCGCAACGAGCGCAACCCCUAUUGUUAGUUGCCAUCAUUCAGUUGGGCACUCUAGCGAGACUGCCGGUAAUAAACCGGAGGAAGGUGGGGAUGACGUCAAAUCAUCAUGCCCCUUAUGACCUGGGCUACACACGUGCUACAAUGGUUGGUACAACGAGUUGCGAGUCGGUGACGGCGAGCUAAUCUCUUAAAGCCAAUCUCAGUUCGGAUUGUAGGCUGCAACUCGCCUACAUGAAGUCGGAAUCGCUAGUAAUCGCGGAUCAGCACGCCGCGGUGAAUACGUUCCCGGGCCUUGUACACACCGCCCGUCACACCACGAGAGUUUGUAACACCCGAAGU
rnacentral:rRNA from 1 species